GUCUCAGUAGCGUAGUGGUUGACUCACGGCCCCGUUAAGCGCGGGUUCGAAUCCCGCCUGUGAUG
rfam:Nippostrongylus brasiliensis genome assembly, scaffold: NBR_scaffold0000667